GUGAAGGGAGAUGGGGUGGGGCCAUUUUAUAAGAUUUGGGUAGGUAAAGGAAAAUUACAGUCAAAGUGGGGUUGUUCUCUGGUGGGCAGGAGUGGGGGGUCACAAGGUACUCAGUGGGGGAGCUUUUUUGAGCCAGGAUGAGCCAGGAAAAGGAAUUUCACAAGGUAAUGUCAUCACUUAAGGCAAGGACCAGCCAUUUUCAUUUCUUUUGUGGUGGAAUGUCAGUUAAGGCAGGAACAGGCCAUUUUCACUUCUUUUGUGAUUCUUCAGUUACUUCACGCCAUCUGGGCAUACACAUGCAGGUCACAGGGGAUGCGAUGGCUUAGCUUGGGCUCAGAGGCCUGACAUUCCUGCCUUCUUAUAUUAAUAAGAAAAAUAACAUAAAAUAGUAUUGAAGUGUUGGGGCAGCAGAAAGAAAUUUUUUUUGAGGGGGUGGCAUGGAGAGAUAAUGGGCGGUGUUUCUCAGGGCUGCUUCGAGCAGGAUUAGGGGCGCCGUGGGAACCUAGAGUGGGAGAGAUUAAGCUGAAGGAAGAUUUUGUGGUAAGGGGUGAUAUUGUGGGGUUGUUAGAAGAAACAUUUGUCGUAUAGAAUGAUUGGUGAUGCCCCGGAUACGGUUUUGGAUGAAUUGAGAAACUAAACAGAAGAUACAAGGUCUGAAUAAAAGGAGAAAAAUAGGUAUUAAAGGACUAAGAAUUGGGAGGACCCAGGACAUCCAAUUACAGAGUGCCCAAUGAGGUUCAGUGUAAUUACUUGCUUGGUUGGCAAGUUUUUGGGCUCUAUCCUUGAGUUUUUUUAUGUUGUCAUACACCAGGCUGGAUUGAUUUAGGUAAAAACAACACUCUUCAUUUAAGAAUAUACAGAGUCCUCCUUUUUCAGCAGUGAGUAAAUCAAGGCCUCAGCGGUUUUGGAGGACAACUGUAGCUAAAGAGUCAACUUGGGCCUGUAGGGACUGAUAAAGUUUGCGAUAUGUCUGUGAUGCUAGCAGAGAAGUCAUUAGAGAGGCUACAGAAGGUCAUGACAGAGGUUGAAAUGCCUGCUAUUCCAGUACUGAGAGCAAUAGUGGAGGCAGAAAGUCCUAAACCGACAAGCAAGGGAAUUAAUGGAAUAACUCUUUUUUGUCAUGUCAGUGUCAUGAGGGGAACAGGGAGCUCUUCGGUCCCAUUUGCAAAUUGAAUUUUGGGAGCAAGGAAAACUAGUGUGCAUGUGCCUGUCCAAUCAACAGGUAGACACAUGUAGGUAGAGGAUCCACAGAGGAAGAAGAGACCUUGUGCGAGGCAAAACUGGAGUUGCAAAGUAAAAAGAUGAGAAGGAGUGCUGAAAGGGAUGUCUUGUACCCAGACUCCUAGGGAUCCAGCUAGGGCGGCAGCCGUCAGAGGUUGUAAUGGGGACUGAUGGGGUAACUGCAUAGAGGGGAAGGUUUGAUUUUCAUGGUGUAUGAGAAAAUGUUGAGUAUCUACGAGCAACCUUUCACUGUUAUUUUUGGGGCUGGGUAUAAGUAAACAAGAAGAGGGCCUGGGAGGAGAGUCUGACGAGCAAGCGGAAGGUAGCUAAGGAUGGAGUGAAAUACAGGGUAAGUGUCUUCCUAAGCAAUAAUUACUGCUAAUGUUUUUAAGUUUGCCAGUAUUGAUAGAGGGCUUGUCUGUAAUAUGGAGCUGGAAGGCUCCAACAGUUUUAGUGAUGUGUGUAGUUGGGCUCUGGAGAUGAAGAGUAAAGGAACAUCAAGAAGGUGAAAGGUUACCUAGGGGAAUUCCAGUGUGUCUUUGCCGAGAGACACAUAAAGGAGCGGCCAUAGGAAUAGUAGUUUGUGUUGUGAGAGGUCCAAAUAUAGGGGGAGUAGAGUUGAUAUAAGGAGAAAGGUUUUUUAAGUAAGUGUGGAGGAGGUCAGCAGCUUGCUGAUGUGAAAUGUCUGGGGAGGUCUUGCUGCACCUGUCUAGAAAGUAAAUGAGUUCUUCAGGAGGGUAAAGGUGAGGGCUGUUAAAGGAAGUUCGGAGGUGUAAGGAGACAGGAGAUGUUGCCCAGUCUGCAUGUAAGGCGGGGACAGCUGUGUAGACGCUGGAAGAAAGGGAAAUGCAAAGCUAGCAGUUGUUCGAUGAGGAGGGAUUAGAAACAGCUAGGAGAGAAUGGGUAAGGUUGAUAGUGUGGUGGAGAGAGCUGGGGAGAGGUAGAGGGUGGCAUAAGAAUGGGAAUGACGAAAAGAGUCAGUAUAAAAGUAAAGAAUAGAACUUCAUCAGGGUGAAAGUAUUGGAGAGUCCCCUGCCAGCAAAGAUCAUCUAUCUGCUCUAAGAGAGAGUUAAGAGUGGUGUUUUGGGGAUAGCACUAAGAAAUAUCAGCUGUGAUGGCUUGAAGAAACAGUGUAAACCAGCAGUGUAAACAAGAGUAGGGCAUUUAUAAGUAGUUAAGAAUGGAGAAUAGGAGUAUGACUAGACAGAAGAUAGUAGGGAUGACUAGUUUUUGGGGCUCGGUCCUAGUAGUGGGGGUGACUUUGUAAAGCCCUGUUGCAAAAAGUAGGGUAAGGAUGAACAGACCUAAUAGAAUGAAGGGAUGUGUUAGGCUCAUAAGGGUUACUACUGUUCUUCAGAAAUACGAGUGAGUUUAAGGGAAGUAGGGGAGAGUGCUUGCGACUUCCAGGAGGAAGAGGAGGGAUUAGGCUGGCUGUCCGAUGGACACAGCUUUAUUCUGGAAUGGUAAACCCAGUGGGGAGGAUCCUGCAGGCAGACGGCAGUUGGGGUACUACAGAUGACUAAGUAGGGUCCGGUCCUUCGAGGUAGUAGAGUUUGAGGGGUCAGAUUCUUAACAAGAACUGAUCGUCCAGCUAGGGUGUCUUCAUAUUGCUGGGAAUCUGGAGUAGGCAAGAGAUUAGCAGCCUGGUGAAUUUCCUGUCUAGCCUCCUGGAGGACUGGAAGAUAGUUGCCUAGAGGGCUGGUGUCUGGGAUGAGGUUGGGGCUGAGCAAGAAAGUGCAUCCAUAUAAAUGUUCAAAUGGACCGUACCCUGUAGCAUCUCGAGGACAGGCUCUAAUUCUAAGAAGGGCAAGAGGUAAAAGUACUGCCUAAUCCUUUUGAAGUUGGAGGCUGAGCUUGGUGAGGUGUGUCUUUAAAACAACAUUAGUCUGUUCUACCUUUCCUGAAGAUGGAGGACGGUAAGGGAUAUGAAGGUUCCACUGAAUACCAAGAGCCUGAGAAACUGCUUGGGUGAUUUGACUAGUAAAGGCCGAUCCAUUAUCAGACUGUAUAGAGGUGGGAAGGCCAAACCGAGGAAUUAUGUCUGUCUGACAGAAGGGAAGAAAUGACUGCGGUGGCUUUCUCAGACCCUGUGGGAAAGGCCUCUACCCAUCCAGUGAAAGUGUCAACCCAGACUAAGAGGUAUUUUAGUUUUCUGACUUGGGGCAUGUGAGUAUAGUCAAUUUGCCAGUCCUGGGUGGGGGCAAAUCCCUGAGAUUGAUGUGUAGGAAAGGGACGGGGCCUGAACAAUCCCUGAGGGGUAGUAGAAUAGCAGAUCGAUCAUUGAGAAGUGAUUUCUUUGAGGAUAGAUUUCCACAGUGGAAAGGAAAUGAGAGGUUCUAAGAGGCGGGUAGUGGCUUGUACUAUAGCAUAGCCUGCCUUUGCUGGUGUGUGGUGAUUAGGCCUGGUGGAACUGCCAUCAAUAAACCAAAUAUGAUCAGGGUGAGGAACAGGGAAGAAGGAAAUAUGGGGAAAUGGAGUGAAUGUCAGGUGGAUCAGAGAGAUACAGUCAUGAGGGUCAGGUGUGGGAGGCCGGAUUGAAGUCCGGGCCAGGAACAAUGGUAACUGUGGGAGACUCAACAAAGAGUGAGUACAGCUGAAGGAGCUGGGAAGCAGAAAGUAUAUGCACCAGGUAUGAGGAAGAAAAUAGAUUUUGGAAGUUAUGAGAACUGUAGAGAGUGAGUUGAGCAUAGUUUGUGAUUUUGAGGGCCUCUAAAAGUAUUAAGGCAGCAGCAGCGGCUGCACACAGACAUGAGGGCUAGGCUGAAAUAGUAAGGUCAAGUUGUUUGGACAGAAAGCUAUAGGGCGCGGUUCUGGCUGUUGUGUAAGAAUUCUGACCACACUAACCAUGCCUAGGAAGGAAAGGAGUUGUUGUUUUGUAGAAGGGAUUGGGGUUUGGGAGAUUAGCCGGACAUGAUCAGCAGAGAGAGCACAUGUGUUUUUAUGAUAAUUAUGCUGAGAUAGGUAACAGAUGAGGAAGAAAUUUGGGCUUGACUGAAGUAAUGGGGGCUGUCUGUGAAGCUUUGCAGCAGUACAGCCUAGGUAAUUUGCUGAGCCUGAUGGCUGUCGGGUCAGUCCAAGUGAAAGCAAAGAGAGGCUGGAAUGAAGGGUGCAAAGGAAUAGUAAAGAAAGCAUGUUUGAGAUCCAGAACAGAAUAAUGGAUUAUGGAGGGAGGUAUUGAGGAUAGGAGAAUAUAUGGGUUUGGCACCACAGGGUGGAUAGGCAAAACAAUUUGGUUGAUAAGACGCAGAUUCUGAACUAACCUGUAAGCUUUGUCUGGUUUUAGGACAGGUGAAAUGGGGUAACUGCAAGGGGAGUUUACAGGCUUUAAAAGGCUAUGCUGUAGCAGGCGAGUGAUAACAGGCUUUAAUCCUUUUAAAGCAUGCUGUAGGAUGGGAUAUUGGCAUUGAGCGGGGUAAGGGUGAUUAGGUUUUAAUGGGAUGGUAAUGGGCAUGUGAUUGGUUGCCAGGGAGGGAGUAGAGAUGUCCUAUACUUGUGGGUUAAGGAGGGGGGGAUACGAGAGGAAGACGCAAGGGAGGCUUUGGGUUGGGAAGAAGGGCGGCAGUGAGAUGUGGCUGUAGCCCAAGAAUAGUCAGGGAAGCAGAUAAUUUAGUUAAAAUAUCUCAGCCUAAUAAGGGAACUGGGCAGGUGGGGAUAACUAAAAGGAGUGCUGAAAGAUUAUUGUCUAAGUUGGCACCAGAGUUGGGGAGUUUUAAGAAGUUCAGAAGCCCGGCCGUCAAUACCCACAACAGUUAUGGAGGCAAGGGAAACAGGCCUUUGAAAAGAAGGUAAUGUGGAGUGGGUAGCCUCUGUAUUGAUUAAGAAGAGGAUGGAUGGACUUACCCUCCACUGUGAGAGUUACCUGAAGCUUGGCGCCCGUGAUGGUCUAGGGGCUUCCAAGGCGAUCGGGCAGUGUCAGUCUUCAGCCGCUAAGCCAAGAAAAUCUGGGAAGGAGUCAGAGAGCCUUGGGCCAGAAUUCCAGGGACCCCGGGAGUGGCUGCCAGGACCUUCGAGCCACACAUUUACCAGCACUAGAUGAACUCACUAUCUCUGUAAUGAUCCCAACUAUAGCUGCCUCCAGAACAAGAUAUCAGAAUAGGAAAUUGAAUCUGAGCUUCUCCCAUGGAAGGCCAGGGCAUUAAUCAUGGGAAGAUACGGGUUAUUCUUCUGAGUUCCCAUUCAGGCAACAAGAUGAAAAUACAUGGGCACAGACAAUUGGGAGAAGGAGAAGGAGAGAGAGACACUACUAGAAGAGGAGGAGGAGGAAGACAUGGACAAGGAAGUAGGGCUGGCUACUCAGGAUCCAUCCUCAAAUAAUGAAUGCUCCCUGACAUCAACGAUCCUUCAGUCCAUUGGGGUGAUAGAACAGUGUCUGUGACCACAGCACAACAUGGUGAUGUAUUCCCUCCCUGAGGUGGAGAAAACUCACAGCUGAGAAGAAAGUUCAGGUAUGCUACCAUGAAAACCAUGAAUGCACUAGCAGAGACCACUAGUUCCCUACUUUCUUCUAGGGUAAGUGAACCCCUAAUUUUUAGCGGUAGAAAUAACAACUUCAUUUCCUAAUGUCUUCUGUAGCUAGACAUGGCCAUGUAGCUAACGAGCUGGUCAAAGGAAUGUGGACAAAAGUGGUGUGUGCAACUUCUGAACUGUGCCCUUAAAAGGAAGGUGACAUUAUUGUUUUCCUUUCACUCUUUUUCUGCUG
rnacentral:lncRNA from 10 species